rnacentral:rRNA from 1 species
UUGGGUCUGGCUGGCCGGUCCGCCUCACCGCGAGUACUGGUCCGGCUGGAUCUUUCCUUCUGGGGAACCUCAUGGCCUUCACUGGCUGUGGGGGGAACCAGGACUUUUACUGUGAAAAAAUUAGAGUGUCAAAGCAGGCCUUUGCUCGAAUACAUUAGCAUGGAAUAAUAGAAUAGGACGUGUGGUUCUAUUUUGUUGGUUUCUAGGACCGCCGUAAUGAUUAAUAGGGAUAGUCGGGGGCGUCAGUAUUCAGCUGUCAGAGGUGAAAUUCUUGGAUUUGCUGAAGACUAACUACUGCGAAAGCAUUCGCCAAGGAUGUCUUCAUUAAUCAGGGAACGAAAGUUAGGGGAUCGAAGACGAUCAGAUACCGUCGUAGUCUUAACCAUAAACUAUGCCGACUAGGGAUCGGACGGGAUUCUAUGAUGACCCGUUCGGCA